UACGGAGGGUGCGAGCGUUGUCCGGAAUCACUGGGCGUAAAGGGCGCGUAGGUGGCCCGUGGAAGUCUGCGUGGAAAGCCCGGCGCUCAACGCCGGGUCGGCCGUGGAUACUCUCGGGCUUGAGCUUACUAGAGGCAGAUGGAAUUCCGGGUGUAGCGGUGGAAUGCGUAGAGAUCCGGAAGAACACCGGUGGCGAAGGCGGUCUGCUGGGGUAAUGCUGACACUGAUGCGCGACAGCGUGGGGAGCAAACAGG
rnacentral:rRNA from 1 species